GAUGAACGCUAGCUACAGGCUUAACACAUGCAAGUCGAGGGGCAGCAUGAAGUCAGCUUGCUGACUUUGAUGGCGACCGGCGCACGGGUGAGUAACGCGUAUCCAACCUUCCCCUUACUCAGGAAUAGCCCGUUGAAAGACGGAUUAAUGCCUGAUGUUCUCAUGUUGCCGCAUGGCGAUAUGAGCAAAGAUUCAUCGGUAAGGGAUGGGGAUGCGUAUGAUUAGCUUGUUGGCGGGGUAACGGCCCACCAAGGCGACGAUCAUUAGGGGUUCUGAGAGGAAGGUCCCCCANACUGGAACUGAGACACGGUCCAGACUCCUACGGGAGGCAGCAGUGAGGAAUAUUGGUCAAUGGGCGAGAGCCUGAACCAGCCAAGUCGCGUGAGGGAAGACGGGUACUAAGGGAUUGUAAACUUCUUUUAUACGGGAAUAACAUCACCUACGUGUAGGUGCCUGCAUGUACCGUAUGAAUAAGCAUCGG
rnacentral:rRNA from 1 species